rnacentral:lncRNA from 1 species
GCUCGCGAGAGAAAUAAGCUGAACAAAAAUAUUUUGUGAUACACAUCAAACGAAUCAUGAAAGUUCAGUCUUUCGCCAAGAGAGAGAGCUUGAUUGAGUACUGAAAGAGAGAUAGAACCUGAUCAAAUCAAUUUAAAGUGCAAUCUUUCCCAAGAAUAGUACAGACACAUCACAGAAGCAAGAACAGAUCGAUCGAAACUCAAUCCAUUUGGAGCAAAUCAACCUUUCCCAAGAACAGAUAAAGCCGCUUGGAGUUGGAGGAACGUCAGUGCAUCACCUACUGACAUCACCGUCGAAAACUGCAGCGCCACGGCUUCCACUCAGUCAGGGUCGAUCUGCACGCCGGCUUCCAUCACCAGCUAUCAACCGCAAGAUCUCAUGCGCCGGCAGCCUGCGUGACCCCUCACCCAGCUUGGCACAUGUGCGUGGAGGGAAGGCCACUGGAGAAGCUAGAGCUGCUCAGGGAGGGAGGGCGUGGAGCGGCAUGUGCGCGGCUGCGACUUGUGGCGGCGGCGCGCACGCGACGCGCACGGGACAAGAGGGUAAGGUCUCGGAUAGAACGAGUUGAGAGGAGAUGGGAGGGCAACCCGGACCUGGCGUCUGGGGACGGGGAGUGUUGCAGCUGAAUGUGUAAUAUAAA